ACCCCUCAUGUCAGCCACACCCGGCUGCUUGAGCGGCUAGCUCUCGGGCUAGUCGGGCUCCACAGUUCCGCUGCGGAGUCGGCAAAUUUACCAACUUACACACCCAACCAAACUGUCUAGCUGAAGCAGUAUCGAGCCAGCAUUGCUGAUCGAUAAAAUUGAGACAACUCUCAACAACGGAUAUCUUGGCUCUCGCAACGAUGAAGAACGCAGCGAAAUGCGAUACGUAGUGUGAAUUGCAGAAUUCCGUGAAUCAUCGAAUCUUUGAACGCAUAUUGCGGUCGAGGCUUCGGCUAAGACCAUGUCUGCCUCAGCGUCGGUGUGAACCCUCAUCCAAACCCAAAAGUCUGGAUGGAACUGGUCUCCCCAUCGCUCGCUCGAUGGGUUGGCUGAAAUUCGGAGGCUCGAGCUUGGACCUGUAUGGCAACAGCAAGGUAGGUAGUCUAACUACUCCAGCUGAUGCUUUGGGUACUUGCAUGAAUGCCCGCGGGAAACAUCACCCUUUUCGACCUGAGAUCAGGCAAGGCU
rnacentral:rRNA from 1 species